rnacentral:misc_RNA from 1 species
AUUUUUUUAUAUAUUUAAUUUGAAUAAGAAAUAUAUGUAUAUUAUUAAAAGUAUGUUGCAAAUUUAUGUUUUUAACUUAUAAUUUAAUUUUUCAAUAGGUCUAAUCUAGUUGAGGCCUCUCUCUCUAGUGGGAUAGAGAGAUCUCUAUCAAGUUUUCAGGGUUCUAGAGACUUUGUACUCUAAUCCUGUUGGUUUCAACAGCUAUUCCUUGUCCUUUCGAGCAAGAGAUGGUCAUCCUUUCUUCGACCGGACUUGUCUCCUCAUCUCUGGGCGAGUCCUUCUUUCACCCGGGCGGGAUUUUGCUCUCCUGACCUUUGGGCGAGGUUGUAUAUAAUUUUGGUUUGUAGAAAUAUGGAGGUUACAGUUAGAUAAGUAGAGAUCAUUAAAUUAAGUUAGAGAAUAGAAAGAAAAAAUGGGGUAGGCUUAAAUUGACUUGGAGGAAAGUGGUGUAACAUGACCUAGAAGCAUUAGACAUUUAUGAGUAUUUG